rnacentral:tRNA from 1 species
AGUGUGUUGGCAGAGUAGUGCAAUUGAUUUAGGAUCAAUUAAUGGAGUAAUACCACACACUA